UAUAUUGUAUGUACCACUUAUAAGCAAUGUCAGAAAAGCUUAUGCUGAACUUUUCAAGAAAAAGCUAGCUAAUUGGUCACUGACACAAAGCAAAGCUAGUGAAGAUUCUAAAAAGAAGUCCACUGAAGACAACUUGGGAAUGAACACAAUUGAUAAUGGGCUUGAUGCAGAAAAAAGCAAAUCAAUGGCAUAACUUUAUUAACAGCAUCAUGUCAUUAAUAUUAUAGCACUGUUAGCAUUGAUUGUCUGUGUAUUUUAUAUAUUUAUCAUUGUCAAAUAAUGUCUUAGUGUUUACUACUUGUUCAAACUUGUUAAGAACAUGCUUAUUCAUUAAAAA